CUCCAAACACCCGAACUGCAUACAAGGGAAUGCUCCAAACACCCGAACGGCAUACAAGGGAAUGCUCCAAACACCCGAACGGCAUACAAGGGAAUGCUCCAAACACCCGAACGGCAUACAAGUGAAUGCUCCAAACACCCGAACGGCAUACAAGGGAAUGCUCCAAACACCCGAACGGCAUACAAGUGAAUGCUCCAAACACCCGAACGGCAUACAAGGGAAUGCUCCAAACACUCGAACUGCAUACAAGGGAAUGCUCCAAACACCCG